GCUAGGGUCAGGAUUCCUUGCUCAUGCGGAGGAGGAGGAGGUUGAUUAAUUGUUCACUGUGAUUUUGGGGUAGGGGGAGUGAGCCUGUCCUCUUGUUCUUGGGAAGUGAGGCAGGCAUUAGGUGAGUUGAAUGCUGGGAAACAGGAAUCCUCAAUUUUGUGGGGGAAAGGGUAGGUACAGAAUGCCUGAGGCUUGAAGUAGAUCCGAGGUCUAAAGUGUCGAUUCUGUGGAUGUGGAAUCUGGAAACUGAACUCCUGACUCUUGGUGUGGGUAUCAGGAACAUGAGCAUUUCAUCACUGUGCUGCAGCUCAUCUCCAUUGUCCUCUUGGCUGCUCUGCUCAUGGCUAUCCUUUUCAAAGGUUCUGAGGUUCCUACAUCCCAAGAGCAUGAUCAUGAAAAGCAACGCAUUCACCAGAAACUGGAUCAGCUGAAGGCUAAACUGGGUAUGUGACCAGACAGUGGAUCUCUAAGAGCAUGGAAAUGUUUCCACAUGGCAUGAAGUGACUGCAGAGGUUGGACCUCCAGUCACUCAGUUUCUACAUAUGUUGAAUGGGAACACUGAGGAACAUUAAAGAUAUAAGUUACUAGACACAACAGGCCCUGCCUACAGUCCCUUAAUUUCUAAAUCUGUUGAAUGGGAACUCAGAUAAAUAUUUAAAAUGGCACUUACUGGAUACAUGGG
rnacentral:sRNA from 1 species